rfam:Gymnopus luxurians FD-317 M1 unplaced genomic scaffold GYMLTscaffold_15, whole genome shotgun sequence.
GGUCUAAUAGUGUAGAGGUUAGCACAUGGGAUUUUGAGGUGAUUAUUGAAUUCCCAUAACCCAGGUUCGAGUCCUGGUUAGACCU